AGAGUUUGACUCCUGGCUCAGGACGACGCUGGCGGCGUGCCUAACACAUGCAAGUCGAGCGAUGAAGUUCCUCCAGGAACGGAUUAGCGGCGGACGGGUGAGUAACACGUGGGUAACCUGCCUUAUAGAGGGGAAUAGCCUUCCGAAAGGAAGAUUAAUACCGCAUAAAGUUGUUGAUUUGCAUGAAUCGAUAACCAAAGGAGCAAUCCGCUAUAAGAUGGACCCGCGGCGCAUUAGCUAGUUGGUGAGGUAAUGGCUCACCAAGGCGACGAUGCGUAGCCGACCUGAGAGGGUGAUCGGCCACAUUGGGACUGAGACACGGCCCAGACUCCUACGGGAGGCAGCAGUGGGGGAAUAUUGCACAAUGGGGGAAACCCUGAUGCAGCAACGCCGCGUGAGUGAUGAAGGCCUUCGGGUUGUAAAGCUCUGUCUUUGGGGACGAUAAUGACGGUACCCAAGGAGGAAGCCACGGCUAACUACGUG
rnacentral:rRNA from 1 species